ACAGGGUCUCAAUACAAUGUCCAGGCUGGUCUCAAACUCCUGGCCUCAAGCAGUCCUCCUGCCUCGGCCUCCCAAAGUCCUGGGAUUACAGGUAUGAGACACUGUGCUGGGCCCCUGUCAAUUUUGGAAGGAUCCAGUUGUGUUUCUUCAUUCAUUUAACACAUAUUUGUAGAAAGCAAAUCCGUGCCAGGCAUAGAUGCUUGAGAUUCAUUAGCCAACGAAACAGAAAACAACCUGUGACCUCAUGGAGCCUCCAUCCCUAGCGGGACGGGUACAGCAGGGGCUUCACCCAGAGAGGCUUCCUGUGAAAACGCCCACUGGGUCCUGGGGAACUGGGAAUCCCCGGCCGCUUCUGCACAGGGCUCCUGGGUGGUUUCCUGUUUCGGCUCCACAGCCGGGGGAAGUUUCUGCUGUUUGCUCCUCUGCACUCUAAGCGGAGAUGUGCACACUCGCGAGCAGGGAUUUUUCUGGUUCAGGAAAGUCCUGCGUCCUUGGGCGCACUUUCACAAGUGUGAGAAAGCCAGUUCAAAUGUGACUUCCCGUGAGAAACCCUGCCUGGCCUCCCGCCCUCCCCGGCACUCUCAGCAUGAAUCAUGCUGCGUUGUCACUAUUGUCUUGCUCAUCUGUGCCUGUCGCAUUCCCUGAGUUCCUCCUGGCGGGGUCUCGGCCUUGUUCAUCUUUGGACCUGGUGGCCAGCACAGAGAAUGUGCUCAAUGAAUGUUUGCUGGAUUGAAUGACACACCCUCAGGUCCAAGUGGGCCAUGCCCCUCUGCCUGCAGCCUGGUGGCCGUCAGGGUCAGGGCUCCCAUGCUUUCUGAUACCCGGGAGGAUGGGUCUCUGACCAUGGGAUUUUGAAAUAGCAAUGAGCCUGAAUAACAUUUUGAGAUACUGGCAACAACGAAAGUGUGGAAUGAAACUUCCCGUUAUUUCUGCUGGCUAACACUAAGUGGUUGCCACCUAUGUUCAUAAUACAAGGAACUGCUCAGUUUCAACCAGAGGCUCUUGCUCCGUCGCCCAGGCUGAAGUGCAGUGGAGCGAUCACGAUCACGGUUCGCUGCAGCUUCAAACUCCUGAGCUCAAACGAUCCUCCCCGCUCAGCCUCCCAAGUAGCUGGGACUACUGGCACAUGCCACCACCCCUGGCUGAAAAUCACUCAUUUUUAAUGAGAAAAUGAAGCGGGAAAGGAAGCUACUCACAACAGCAACAAGAUCCGUACUAUAACCAAGAAUGAAACCAGAAUAUAGAGUUUUUGUGAUUAGAACGGGCAAAUAAAAGAACAAAGCUGAGUGGAGAGUCCAGAAUUCUCAGCCACUCCACUCCUAAGAAUCUGCCGUUUUUAAAAAGUGGACAUGUGCACAAAGGUAUACGUACAAAGAGGCUCAGAAAUAACAUUUGCAAGGGCAAAAACAUUGAGGCCAAUGCGAGUUUUUAUCAACAGGAGAAUGGUUAAAUGAAUAAUGUUAUAUCACAUUUGCAGUGUUUUAUUUAGAAAGGAAGCAUUGCUGUGAGUUCUGACAUGGAAUGAUCUCGGUGGUAUAUUGAAAAGCAAGUUCUAAUAUAAUUCCUCAAGCAUAAAAAAAACUAUAUGUUGAUAUAUUUAUGGAUAGAGGUAAUUGCAUAGAAAAAUGCCUGGAAAGAUACAUGUCAAACCAUUAUUGUGGUUAGUUCUGGGGGCCAUUUCCUUUAGAAAUUUUCUAUGAGAAUGGCCGGGUGCGG
rnacentral:lncRNA from 10 species